rnacentral:tRNA from 1 species
AUUCGCAAUGCCGUGACCCGGAUUCGAACCGGGGUUGCUGCGGCCACAACGCAGAGUACUAACCACUAUACGAUCACGGCGAGCUACCAGGGCCAUGCCCCGUUAGGGAGACGUAGGGAUCUUAAAUGAAACCUACAGUGACGUGGAGUAGCGUUCAAGCAGAGAUAUCUUAGUUUAUGUUUUGUCUCUCACAUGACAUGUAACGCAAGUAAUCAUAAUAUUAUCUGUCCAAGUCUUUGAUGAUUCUCCAGAGCUGUGAAUAAUGAAUCGUAAACUUAACCCUAUACUCUGCUGCCAGUGGACGUCUGGCAGGUCAGAGACUGAUAGAUCCAUCCUCUGGAGUUGGGGGAACCCAAUAUGUUGCCCCUGGAUGAUAUAAACAAGGAGAGGUUGACCGUCACCCUCAUGGAUGCUAAUCAUUGUCCAGGGGAGGGCAUGUUCCUAUUCCAAGGAUACUUCGGAACCAUACUCUACACUAGCAGAACACUGUAUUCCACUGUACCACACAAUACUCUACAGGGAGGACCUGAGCCCUAGGACCAUGCCUCAGGACUACCUGCCAUGAUGACUCCUUGCUGCCCCAGUCCACCUGGCCGUGCUGCUGCUCCAGUUCCAACUG